GGUGGCUCAGUGGUAGAGCUCUUGCCUUGCAUUCAUGAGGUCCUGGGUUCGAUUCCUCAGCACCA
rnacentral:tRNA from 1 species